GUCGGGCCAGGGGGCCCCGGGAGCUCGCGUCCCGGCCUCUGCUUUCUUGAACCCCCGCCCGCCCCUGCUCUGCCGUGGAGUCAUGCACACGAGAGCCUCGGGCCAAGAGCCAGCACCUUCCUGCCGAGGAACUGUGCUUCGUGAGGAGGAACCGCGGUCCCCGACGUCUCUGCGUCCCCGUCUGCCACGUGAGCCCCUCACCGUCCAGCCCCUGCGUCACAGACUUCCGGCUUACCCGCUAUCCGUGCAGUGCACGCCCGGGGCACACGCAGCACCUGCGCCCUGCCCUGGGUCUGCUGGAGCCCGAGGAGCAGCCUGCAGAACCUUCUGGCCUGGGGUGUAGGAAAUGUCCAGUCUCCAUGGCCGAUAAGCUGCCGGGCAACACUGUGUGGCUUUAACACGGGGUCGCCGUCGCUAGUCUUGCAGUUCGGGUCCCUGUUUGUGAAAAUAAACGCAAAUAGUUAGAACCAGGGACGCUGGCCCUGCGCCCUCACCGGCCUCGCCCGGCCCCGCAGCCUGAGCGGGGGUGGUCUUCAGCCCUCCCAUCGUGCUGACGUACACGGGCAUGCCUCCGCCACUCCCCAGGUCCCCUACGUCAGCGCCAAUCGUAUCAUGCCAUCCACGUGUGUCUCUGACCGCUUGUGACUUCGCUGACACCCUGUGUGCAAGCCCCGAUGGUGCUCCGUCCCCUCUGUGGACCUGUGCUCCCCAGCUCAGCGAGUCCUGGGCAGCAGUGCACGCGCCCCGCUCUGAGGCCGCAGGUGCUGGGUGCGGCGGUGACGGCAGGAGCCCUGCUGGCUUCCCCGGGCUGCCGAGCAGCGCCGGGCGGGCGGCGUGUUCCAGAAAGGUGUUGCAGGAACUGGCGCGUCCUCCGGCUGGUCUCAGCUGCAAUCCGCUCUACGCGGGGAUGAAGUGGUUCCAAGUGGAUUUGUCUCAAGAGGAAGGAUGCUCGGCGGCGUUCUCAGCAGGCGCCUGCACCCCCUGCCCGCCCGCCCGCCCGCCCGGCCGGCCACCAGCUCCGGGGCACUUCACUUCCAUUUAA
rnacentral:lncRNA from 12 species